ACUAAAGAGGCCAUCCUUCUUAGUCCUGUGCUCAUUCGUAUCUUUAGGCCAUCCUUUUUAGUCCAAUGCGUUGCGUGUGCUAUCUACCCGGCUCUGCAGGAAGUCAACGUACCCUAUGUGCUAGUUCACCUCCUCACCUCGAGCGGGAGGCACAACCACAAUGUGGUCGUUGCGCGCACCUUAACGACACAACCCUUGGGCCUCGUGCUAGCUGGGCUCCUAAAGUAUCGCAAGCUCUCGCAAAUGCGACAGGCUUCGGGGACUUCGGCCCUCGGCCGGGACCUUGGUCGGUCAUUAAGCCACCCUCGUCGAGACAACGAUCGAUCCACCGAUGGGCCCCCUCCGCUCCCUGC
rnacentral:misc_RNA from 1 species